rnacentral:sRNA from 1 species
UGCGUAAUGGCGUGGCUGGCCUGACGAC